ensembl:lncRNA
CAUGCCAAAAGGAGCCCAUAUAUUUGAGGAAAUUUUUCAAUUUGAGAAAGUAGGCAGUUGAUGAUGUACUCAUGCAAGAUAUAUGCUAAUAAAUACUAACUUCAAAAUUUAAGCAAGGGCUUUGUAUUAACCUGUAAUCUCAACUACAUCUCAUCACUGAGCUUGAACUGUGUGAACAUGAUUAGCUUUUCUUCUGUGAUUUUUUUUUUUGGAAAGGCCAAUUAAUGUAUUUUUUUCAUCUCCCUCCAAAUUUCUGAUAAGGCACAAGUAAUUUUCAGAGUUAAACUCUGGCUUUCACCCAUAUUUUGUCCUGAUUUUGUGAGUCCUGACUCAAAAAUAUCGAUAGCUUUCUUCUGCAGAUAAAACACAACUCAAUUGGCCAUGAAACCAAGACCUUCCAUAAUUUAGUCUAAAUCCAUCUUUCCAAAACUACUUUCCUUAACUCUCCUUUAUUAACUCUUCACUCCAACAAAUAAUCCUGUCUCUUUUAUGUUUUCACCCACCCUGUCUCCCCUCCAAAACUAUUUCCGCCCCCCACCAGCUACACACCCAACUGCUCUUCUGUGUCACGAAUGUCACUGUUUUUACAAAGAUUUUUGUAAUUGCUACCCUCUCCACCCUCCUUCCCUAGCUAGAAGCUAUCUCUCCCCUCUUCUAAACCCACACAGCUCACCAUUUGGACAACUUUUAGGAUGUUUAGCACUUUCCACCACACACUAUUGUUUUAAGUACAGUUAUCCCCCAGUAUCCAUGGGGUAUUGGUUUCAGGACACCUGUAGAACACCAACAUCUUCAGAUGCUCACGUCUCUUUUCUAAAAUGGUGUAGUAUUUGCAUAUAGCAUAUGCACAUCCUCCCGUAUACUUUAAAUCAACCCUAGACUACUUAUAAUACCUAACAUAAUGUAAAUGCUAUGUAAAUAGUUGUUACACUGUAUCAUUUAGGGAAGAAAGAUAGGAAAAAAGUCUGCACAUGUUCAGUACAGACAACCAUCCAUAUAUACAGAUCUAUAGAGAGAGAUCCACAGUUGGUUAAAUCCAUAGAAGCAGAGCAGAGUUUCUUUAUGAAGCCAAAUAUGUAUCUUCAUAAUGCCCCAGAGGGCAGAACUUCGGUCUGAUUUGUAGGUAAUGAGGUCUAAUGAAAAUAGCUAGGGAAAAGACCCUGGGGGAAAAUCUUUUCCUCCACCACUUACUAGCUGGCUCUGCCUAGUAUUACACUUGCUUGCUUUCUCUUUUAGCAUAUGGGCAAUUUAUCCAAUCACUCUGAGCCUAGUUUCCACAUCUAUAAAAUAUGGUGAGAACUUAACAAGUUAAAUUUUCUAGCACGUAGUAGAUAUUUAAAAGCAUGUUAAAUAAAUUCGUGCCAUUAUAACGUUGGAGUCUGUUACUUAAAAUGUUUUCCUCAAAAGUCUCAAUGGCUGACUCGCAAAGAAACAGAUUUGUUCAUGGAUCUGUUAAAAUAAACAAGAGCAAAAUAGCCUUUGCUAUUUUUGUACAGUGUUAAUCAUUCUGUUCCUUAAAGAAAAGUCCCAGGGAACUACGUACUGUGGGGAAGGCCCUUUCUAGAAGGAGCGCCAGCAGAGAGCAGGAGGAGCAGGGGUUGGCCUUCACAAAGCUGGUGCUGUCUCCAUCUGCACCACAUUUCAUUUUAUUCAUUUUGUGCCCCUCAUCUGAACCCUCAGUUUCAGGUUUGGGAAACAGAACCAAAUGGAACAUGAAACGUAAAACAAGGUCCAGGCAAACACAGUGAGCACUCUCUGGCUUGAAGUCAAAACUUGGCUGAACCACAAAGCUUCACCUGGUUUUGAGUAAAAACCACACUGAACCACCUUUUUUUUUUUUUUCAUGGUUUCGGUUUGCAAAUGGGGUUUCAUGCAAAGCUUGCCCUCGUUUCCGUAGAGUUCCCUGGCAGAGCACGGGCAAGUCUUCAGCUAAUAUGGACUCUGCCCUGUCAACACCCCUGGCCAGCCUGUGUGGAGAUGACUGGUGCUUACUUAUUGUUCGGACCUCAGAAGGCCUGGGUGUUGAGGAGCAGUCUUGCUCGUGUGAUGAUUAAGACAACAGAAAACUAUCAGGCUUAUCAAGAAGAAGUACAGUCAAUUAGUUUCCCUCUUUGCACUUGGCUUUUACAAAAACAGAGAAGAAAAUUUUUGAAGAGCAAUGAAUUUAUGAAGGGGCAGGAGGAGCAUAGCCUAAAACUCUAUCUAUGUGUGGAGGCAAAGAGAUCUGAAACAAUUCUUUGGAUAAUCCAGGCCAAAAUUCUGAUUCAUCAGAAAUAUUGAGAUAAUAAAGGCAAAGUGGGCUAGAAGAGUGCACUUGUGGAAGGUAUGAAAAGAAGCUCAAUUUUCCCCUCACUGGCUAAAUGCAGACAAAGCUAUGAUAUCAGCGAUGCAUUUCUCCCUGGAGAUUUGUAGUGGAUUUGGUGUCAUUCGUGUGCUAUGCUGGCAAUAGUAGAAAGGAUUAAAGUGUUCCUUAGAAGCUAACAGUGUCAGAUGAGACAUUUGCCCUGGGUAGUGAUGACGUCCCUGGGGGAACGAGGUCUAAUAUAAAGGGUCUCCAAGCUGAGUUUUCUAUGACAUGAAGGGAGGUUUAUGUUGUUCUCUUGGUAAAUUAAACUAGUACUUGGGAUUUACAAGCGGAUUUAUAGGAGGAUUGUAAUGAUGAAUGCAUGAAGAGUGGAUUGAAUCUGUGAUAAAACAUUUAUUAUAUCAAUACACGCAAAGUUUGGAAAACUAUAAGAGAAAAUAAAUGGCCUGUUAAAAAUCACUUAUAUAUGUGUAGUAUCAUAAAAUUCACAUACAAAAAAUUCCCACACAUGAUGACACUGGAUCCGGGUCCUGGAAAGAUUAUGUGUCAUGUCCAAUCCAGGUCAGGAAGCCAGUAUGUUGCAGGGAUUUGACCUUCCCUUGUUGUUCACCAUUCACAGACAAAAAUUUGUCCUCGGCAUGAUAACUGUGUAGCAAGGGAGACAAUCAAAUACACCAAACACUACAAUAUAACAACAUCACAGGCACCAAAGUGGGACUAUCUUUUAGAGAUGUGAAGAGCCUGAGUAAAAGAUUCCUACAUCUGCCUCCUGUCUUUGUGCAUGUAAGCAUACAGGACUGAAAACUAGGAGAUAGUCUCUAAGAGACAGAUGGAGGGAGAAAGAGCCUUAGUACGUAUCUCUAGUGAGCUGGGAAGUCCAUUCAAGUGAUUAGUUUGGGAUAUAUUGGUUUUGAGGAUUCCAUGAAAUACACAACAAGAGCUCUCAAGCUUCUCCAGCAAUGUCAGUCCAGAAUUCCAGGGAAAUAGUUCUGGGCUGGAGACAUGAAUUUGGGAGUCACUCAUGUAAAAAUAAUAGAUUAAUGAUCUCACCCAGAGCAAGAUGUUGAGGGAGAAAAGUCAAAGGGAGCAUCAGGCUCUCUGCAACCCAUGGGUCCUGUUGCAUGCAACUGGACAACAGGGGAUUAUUAGAAAAGAAGAUGCCUGCCAAAUGAUGCGUGCUGUAUGGAAGGCUGCACGCCACCAACCUCAUCCUUUGUAGAGUUAAUCAAUGCCAAACCACUUUGUCAUUUAAAUGGAAAGUCUUGUUUCUCUAAACCUAACAUUUCAACACCUGUUUACAAAAAA